UCGCUUGGCAGACACCUACUCCUCCUCCCAAGGUCGUCUGCUCGAACAGCGCCUCUCCUCCUCCCGAGCGCUGUUCAACCAUUGACGAAAGCCUGCCGCACCUCCUCCCGCGGCAGGCUUUUUUC
rnacentral:sRNA from 1 species